AAUGACCAAGAGGAAAAAUGAAAGGAGAAUGAUGCACCACUGGUGUGGAGAUUUUUAUUCCACGAGACACAGACAGAAUCUUCUGCUUCCCUAUUUGAGGCACUGUGCUCUUGCUGACCCUUCCUGAGCAGGCAGUUGGACGGGAUCAUUUCCAGAGGUGACUUCCAACCUCAGCAGUUUUGGCGCUGUGCUUGGGAAUGGUUGAGCAUUCUUGUUUUAGUGCCAGGAUGAGCCUUCACAAGGCAUCGGUCUGAAGAUCGAGAUGGUAACAACAGGACCUUUUUUCACACAAAUAUAUGAGUUGCAAAAUCCUUCUCACAUCUGUCUAAUUGAAUACAUAGGAGUAGAGACAGCUGCUCUUCUCAAUCCAAGAAGAGCACUUGUAGUUCAAGCACUUAGCGGAGUGAAUGAAGAGGGGAACAGUGUGAUUAAUAUCCAACUACUGUUAAUUAGCAGCUUCUCUUGUACUCUAUGCCAGAGGGUCUGAUAGUUUAGAUGACUGAUUCCCUACGGUGCCAUGUAAACAUAAGAUGAUUAUCCUUCAUUUUCAAUUUCUUUUUACAAUUGUAUUUUCAGCAAAAGUAGCUUGACAUGCAGCCUCUAAGUUCUUUUAGGUUCUUAGGUGUUUUUUGGGUUGAGAGUUUGGCUCAGCACAAUAGCAGAAUUGAGGCUUUGUGAUUAUUUUAGCACCCAAGUGAGUUUAUAUGAUAAAAAAAAAUAUUGGCACAAACCAAAAUUUAAUAUGCUAUCAUUUUGAUUAGCGUGAACUGGUAUAACCUUCCUGGAAGGAUGGGAAAACAAUCUUUUUCAUUUAUGUCAACAAGUACAGAUUGCUGAUCUAUCUUAUUUGUGUGUUUGUUUUGAUUUGUUUUGUUUCUGAGGGUGAAGGGGGUGCAAUAGAGUGGAGGUUUAUGUCCUUUUCAAAUGACAUUUUAAAUUUCUAAUGGAUUUCCCUCUCUGCUCUCCCCCUCAGAAGUAUCAUCCUAAUAUUAUAUUUGAAAGAUUUGCCAUGAAAUCAGACCAAAUCUGAGUUAGCUUAUAGCGAUCCAUUUUCAUAGCCUAAUGUUACUGGCCACAUUACUGUACUUAAAAAGUUCCAAGAAAUAUGCUGCUUAGGACCUACCCAAUUAUUUGUAUGCAAGUAUUAACUGUGAAGCAGCUCGGCAUUACAUUUAUGCUGGCACAUUUUGCAUCUCUGUUUAAAUAUCUGUGUAAAAAUUGUCUUGCUGAAGGUCAUUAAAAACGUUUUUAACUAAUGCAUAUAUAAACAGACACAUAUAUACAUAUAUUUAUUUUUAUUUAUAUUUCUACUUUUUAAUGUACAGAUAGGGGUUUGAUUUUCUGCUAGAAAUAUGUGGAAUAUUAGGGAUGCAAAUGUAAAACUCCUUGAAGGCAGAAGCAGUUUGCUUCUAUGUUCAAGUUUAUUUCCAUAUUUGCAAGUUGA